UACGGAGGGUGCGAGCGUUAUUCGGAAUUACUGGGCGUAAAGCGCGUGCAGGCGGCUCGAGAAGUCUGAUGUGAAAGCCCCGGGCUUAACCCGGGAAGUGCAUUGGAAACUCUCGGGCUUGAGUGCUGGAGAGGAAGGGAGAAUUCCCGGUGUAGAGGUGAAAUUCGUAGAGAUCGGGAGGAACACCAGUGGCGAAGGCGCCCUUCUGGACAGCAACUGACGCUGAGACGCGAAAGCGUGGGGAGCAAAC
rnacentral:rRNA from 1 species